GCUGGGCAUGGGGGCGCUUGCCUGUAGUCCCAAUUACUCGGAAGGCUGAGGCAGGAGGAUCACUUGAACCCAGGAGGCAGAGGUUGCAGUGACCCAAGAUCGUGCCACUGCACUCUAGCCUGGGUGACAGAGUGAGAUUCUGUCUCAA
ensembl:misc_RNA Metazoa_SRP Metazoan signal recognition particle RNA